rnacentral:hammerhead_ribozyme from 1 species
AUCCAGCUGAAGAGUCCCGAGUUGGAUGAAACGCACGUCCUGGUU